rnacentral:sRNA from 1 species
ACUGGGUCCCGCGCAGGCGUCCCCGGGACCGCAGAGCAAACUUUCUGGACUGUCUGAGGACACUUGUCCAGCGAGCCCCACUGCUCGGGGAGGAGGAGCCACGGCCGGGGACAGUGAUACACUUGGGUGUUGAAGGACAUUUUUGAAAUCAUGAGAACUCAAUGUUUGACUAUGAAUGUUUCAUUAUAACUGCCUGGAAGGUUAGCGUCAAAGAAGUUGAGUAAAAUUCUAGAGAAUCCAAGAACAAGUUAAUCCUCAGUGUUGAUUAGCAGCAUUAGUGAGCAUAGAGAAAAUGGAUCACUA